AAUAUUGCACAAUGGGGGAAACCCUGAUGCAGCGACGCCGCGCGAGUGAAGAAGUAUUUCGGUAUGUAAAGCUCUAUCAGCAGGGAAGAAAAUGACGGUACCUGACUAAGAAGCUCCGGCUAACUACGUGCCAACAGUCGCGGUAAUACGUAGGGGGCAAGCGUUAUCCGGAUUUACUGGGUGUAAAGGGAGCGUAGGUGGUGUGGUAAGUCAGAUGUGAAAACCCGGGGCUCAACCCCGGAACUGCAUUUGAAACUACUAUGCUUGAGUGCAGGAGAGGUAAGUGGAAUUCCUAGUGUAGCGGUGAAAUGCGUAGAUAUUAGGAGGAACACCAGUGGCGAAGGCGGCUUACUGGACUGUAACUGACACUGAGGCUCGAAAGCGUGGGGAGCAAACAGG
rnacentral:rRNA from 1 species